AUACUAUGGUGAGGGCAUUCCUGGAAUAGAUCCUUCAAUCUCUACAUAAGUUUAGAAAAGGACUCACUAGGCUUCUACUAAACUGGAGGAUAUCACUUCUAAGCUU